rnacentral:rRNA from 1 species
UACGUAGGGUGCGAGCGUUAAUCGGAAUUACUGGGCGUAAAGCGUGCGCAGGCGGUUUUGUAAGUCUGUCGUGAAAUCCCCGGGCUUAACCUGGGAAUGGCAUUUGGGACUGCAAGGCUGGAGUUUGGCAGAGGAGACUGGAAUUCCUGGUGUAGCAGUGAAAUGCGUAGAUAUUCGCAAGACACCAGUGGCGAAGGCGGCUCACUGGCCCGAUACUGACGCUGAGGUGCGAAAGCGUGGGGAGCAAACAGG